rnacentral:tRNA from 2 species
GCGGGGAUAGUUUAGUGGUAAAA